GAUGAACGCUGGCGGCGUGCCUAAUACAUGCAAGUCGAGCGAACAGACGAGGAGCUUGCUCCUCUGACGUUAGCGGCGGACGGGUGAGUAACACGUGGAUAACCUACCUAUAAGACUGGGAUAACUUCGGGAAACCGGAGCUAAUACCGGAUAAUAUAUUGAACCGCAUGGUUCAAUAGUGAAAGACGGUUUUGCUGUCACUUAUAGAUGGAUCCGCGCCGCAUUAGCUAGUUGGUAAGGUAACGGCUUACCAAGGCAACGAUGCGUAGCCGACCUGAGAGGGUGAUCGGCCACACUGGAACUGAGACACGGUCCAGACUCCUACGGGAGGCAGCAGUAGGGAAUCUUCCGCAAUGGGCGAAAGCUUGACGGAGCAACGCCGCGUGAGUGAUGAAGGUCUUCGGAGCGUAAAACUCUGUUAUUAGGGAAGAACAAAUGUGUAAGUAACUAUGCACGUCUUGACGGUACCCAAUCAGAAAGCCACGGCUAACUACGUG
rnacentral:rRNA from 1 species